rnacentral:rRNA from 1 species
UCGGGAAUCUUGCACAAUGGGCGAAAGCCUGAUGCAGCAACGCCGUGUGAGCGAGGAAGGUCUUAGGGUCGUAAAGCUCUGUUGUUGGGGACGAAGGGCGAAGGGUUAAUAGCCCCUAGCCUGACGGUACCCUUCGAGGAAGCCCCGGCUAACUACCUGCCAGCAGCCGCGGUAAUACGUAGGGGGCGAGCGUUGUCCGGAAUUAUUGGGCGUAAAGAGCGUGUAGGCGGCCUGGUAAGUCUGCCGUGAAAGCCUGGGGCUCAACCCUGGGCGUGCGGUGGAUACUGCUAGGCUAGAGGAUGGUAGAGGCGAGUGGAAUUCCCGGUGUAGCGGUGAAAUGCGCAGAUAUCGGAAGAACACCAGUGGCGAAGGCGGCUCACUGGACCGGUAUUGACGCUGAGGCGCGAAAGCGUGGGAAGCAAACAGGAUUAGAUACCCCCGUAGUCC